rnacentral:rRNA from 1 species
ACAAGUAUUGAAGGUGAUGCCUGCCCGGUGACCCGAUGUUCAACGGCCGCGGUAUCCUAACCGUGCAAAGGUAGCGCAAUCAAUUGUCCCAUAAAUCGGGACUAGUAUGAAUGGCUAAACGAGGUCUUAACUGUCUCUUACAGGCAAUCGGUGAAAUUGAUCUCCCUGUGCAAAAGCAGGGAUAACCCCAUAAGACGAGAAGACCCUGUGGAACUUCAAAAUCAGCAACCAACCCUAAAAACAUACACACCCACCUCGGGCUCACUCACCCAACAGGGACACUGGUCUGCAUUUUUCGGUUGGGGCGACCUUGGAGCAAAACAAAACCUCCAAAAAUUGGACCACACAUCCAGACCGAGAGCAACCCCUCAACGUGCUAAUAGCACCCAGACCCAAUACAAUUGAUCAAUGGACCAAGCUACCCCAGGGAUAACAGCGCAAUCUCCUCCAAGAGUCCAUAUCGACGGGGAGGUUUACGACCUCGAUGUUGGAUC